rnacentral:lncRNA from 1 species
GGGUCAAAAAUUUAUUGCAAUAGAUUGGUACUAGAAGGAGAGCAUUAGAUCCAUUUUUUUUGGAAGGAGUAAGAGUUUGACACCAUGGCACUAUGCAAAGGAGUAUCCUCCCAUCAUUCCAACACCGCUAACUCUCAACUGACUAAAAAUCCUGCCAAUCAACGGGCCCAAGUGCAACCUUUGGAGGUUCCACCUCCACCUUCUCAAUCGAAAAUGGUUGUCAAUGCAGAGCAAUUCAACUUGCUUGUCUAGCAGGUGUGGGAUUUGACUGCUACUAUUCAAGCAAUAUAGCAGACUAAUUUCGUGCCA